GAGUCUGCCCGCCCAGUGCCGUGCCUAACGUGAAUUCAGUGGACUGACGACUCUCAUUUUGCCGACCUUGCCGCAGGGUGUGCACCGUGUUCUGGGUGAUUUAGCAGCAUGUCCUCUGCCAUGGCUCGUCUCUUCCGGCUGCCCGGCCUGUCCCAGGUCGUCUCCCGCAGGGGUCUGGCUUCCAAAGCGCCCCAUAGUGGAAUGAGCGCCACGGACACCAUUAUUGGUCUCAGUGCGUUCAUGGCCUGCUUCCUGAUACCAUCUGGUUGGAUCCUGGCCAAUCUGGAAAACUAUAAAAAGAGGGACUGAUUCUGCCCACUCCAACCCACUUUGCCACAUUCCACUUCCAGCAUGGGCAAGAUUACAGUGGUACGCUGGUACUAAACGCACAUAGUUACUUGAGAUCAAGCAGUCUGUUACAUUAAAGAUAUGUUUACAAUCCUACAACAAA